AGCGAACGCUGGCGGCAGGCUUAACACAUGCAAGUCGAGCGCCCCGCAAGGGGCGCGGCAGACGGGAGAGUAACACGUGGGAACAUACCUUUUGGUUCGGAACAACUGAGGGAAACUUCAGCUAAUACCGGAUAAGCCCUUACGGGGAAAGAUUUAUCGCCGAAAGAUUGGCCCGCGUCUGAUUAGCUAGUUGGUGAGGUAACGGCUCACCAAGGCGGCGAUCAGUAGCUGGUCUGAGAGGAUGAUCAGCCUCACUGGGACUGAGACACGGCCCAGACUCCUACGGGAGGCAGCAGUGGGGAAUAUUGGACAAUGGGGGCAACCCUGAUCCAGCCAUGCCGCGUGAGUGAUGAAGGCCUUAGGGUUGUAAAGCUCUUUUGCCCGGGAAGAUAAUGACGGUACCGGGAGAAUAAGCCCCGGCUAACUUCGUG
rnacentral:rRNA from 1 species